CAAUAGCGUAUAUUAAAGUUGUUGCAGUUAAAAAGCUCGUAGUUGGAUUUCUGGUAGGAGCGACCGUGCCGAACUUGAUUGUUCGAGUAUUGUGUUGUCUUCAGCCAUCCUCGUGGAGAACUUUUCUAACAUUAACUUGUUGGGAUUGGGACCCGCGUCGUUUACUGUGAAAAAAUUAGAGUGUUUAAGCAGGCAUUAGCCUGAAUACAUUAGCAUGGAAUAAUAAGAUAGGACUUUGGUACUAUUUUGUUGGUUUGCAUACCAAAUUAAUGAUCAACAGGAACAGUUUGAGGAUAUUCGUAUGAACAUGUCAGAGGUGAAAUUCUUGGAUUUUGGUCAGACGAACUACUGCGAAAGCAUUUAUCAAGGAUGUUUUCAUUAA
rnacentral:rRNA from 1 species